rnacentral:misc_RNA from 1 species
UUUUCAUAAUGAACAAGAGUAUCCUUCAUUGAUGCCUUGUAGUCUCAGUCAACUAGAAGUUUCAGUUGGCAACACUGUCCCUAUGCUUGGAUGUCAUUAUAGACAACCAGCAGCUUUGCCUCGUCAAAGUUCACAGAUCAAACGACGGUGGUCCAAAUCUAGGAUUAAAAUAUGACCGGCCUGCUCCUGAAAGGGGACAGACUGUGCGUUCCGUAGGUGAACCUGCGGAAGGAUCAUUACCGAGUGAGGGUCUCUCAGGCCCGACCUCCCACCCUGUGUUUUUGUGACCUUGUUGCUUUGGCGGGCCCGCCUCGAUGAGAGGCCGCCGGAAGCUCACCGCUUUGGGCCCGUGCCCGUCAGUAGCCCCCUUAAAUUCUUAAUAAACCUGUCGUCUGAGUUAAUGGAUAGAAUGAAAAAAAACUUUCAACAACGGAUCUCUUGGUUCUG